AACGAACGCUGGCGGCAUGCCUAACACAUGCAAGUCGAACGAGACCUCCGGGUCUAGUGGCGCACGGGUGCGUAACGCGUGGGAACCUGCCCUUAGGUUCGGAAUAACUCCCCGAAAGGGGUGCUAAUACCGGAUAAGGUCUUCGGACCAAAGAUUUAUCGCCUUUGGAUGGGCCCGCGUUGGAUUAGCUAGUUGGUAGGGUAAAAGCCUACCAAGGCGAGGAUCCAUAGCUGGUUUGAGAGGAUGAUCAGCCACACUGAGACUAAGACACGGCCCAGACUCCUACGGGAGGCAGCAGUGGGGAAUAGUGGACAAUGGGCGAAAGCCUGAUCCAGCAAUGCCGCGUGAGCGAUGAAGGCCUUAGGGUUGUAAAGCUCUUUUACCCGGGAUGAUAAUGACGGUACCGGGAGAAUAAGCUCCGGCUAACUCCGUG
rnacentral:rRNA from 1 species